rnacentral:rRNA from 1 species
AUUGAACGCUGGCGGCAUGCCUUACACAUGCAAGUCGAACGGUAACGCGGGGCAACCUGGCGACGAGUGGCGAACGGGUGAGUAAUGUAUCGGAACGUGCCCAGUUGUGGGGGAUAACUGCUCGAAAGAGCAGCUAAUACCGCAUACGACCUGAGGGUGAAAGCGGGGGAUCGCAAGACCUCGCGCAAUUGGAGCGGCCGAUAUCAGAUUAGGUAGUUGGUGGGGUAAAGGCUCACCAAGCCAACGAUCUGUAGCUGGUCUGAGAGGACGACCAGCCACACUGGGAGUGAGACACGGCCCAGACUCCUACGAGAGGCAGCAGUGGGGAAUUUUGGACAAUGGACGCAAGUCUUAUCCAGCCAUGCCGCGUGCGGGAAGAAGGCCUUCGGGUUGUAAACCGCUUUUGUCAGGGAAGAAACGCUCUGGGUUAAUACCCGAGGAGGAUGACGGUACCCGAAGAAUAAGCACCGGCUAACUACGUGCCAGCCGCCGCGGUAAAAC